rnacentral:tRNA from 1 species
GGGGCCAUAGCUCAGCUGGGAGAGCGCUUCGCUGGCAGCGAAGAGGUCAGGGGUUCGAUCCCCCUUGGCUCCA